AUGUCCUCUUACUUUUGACCGGUCAUCUCCUUCUUCCAAAUCGAGCCGCGACGUUCCCGACAGCUGAGGGUCGAACAAAUCCCCAACCCUAAUGGCCUGCCAACGGCGACGGCGGUGUAGAUCCUGUACCUAGCUGGGCGACCUUGGCUAUGGAGGAAGCUUUCCAUCUCUGCCCCUAGGUCUACCGAGCUGGGCGACCUUGGCUACUGGAGGAAUCCUGGUCGUGUCGUCGCCGGCGGUAGGGCUGCCCGGGGGGACCUCUCCUGUGUUGCGCCUCGACGCUGGCCGAGUGAAUCUCCAGCACAUAAACCUCGAUGAGCAAGAAGCACCAGCAACGAAGAUGCUUAUGUCCAAGUGGCUAGAUUACGAGGAGAGAGCAAGUCUUGCUAGAUGCCAAAACCCCUGUAACUCAGUGGUCUUUCCACUCUGCUUUGCACUGAGUUUGUAUCAGACUUGUACAUCAUGGACCAGUCCUUGCUGAGAAUUGAAAUGAGAAUUAUGUAAUUGUGCA